UACGGGGGGGGGCAAGCGUUGUUCGGAAUUACUGGGCGUAAAGGGCUCGUAGGUGGCCAACUAAGUCAGACGUGAAAUCCCUCGGCUUAACCGGGGAACUGCGUCUGAUACUGGAUGGCUUGAGGUUGGGAGAGGGAUGCGGAAUUCCAGGUGUAGCGGUGAAAUGCGUAGAUAUCUGGAGGAACACCGGUGGCGAAGGCGGCAUCCUGGACCGGCAUUGACGCUGAGGAGCGAAAGCCAGGGGAGCAAACGGG
rnacentral:rRNA from 1 species